rnacentral:rRNA from 1 species
UAAUACGGAGGGUGCAAGCGUUGUCCGGAUUUAUUGGGUUUAAAGGGUGCGUAGGCGGCUAUUUAAGUCAGCGGUGAAAGACUCCGGCUCAACCGGAGCAGUGCCAUUGAUACUGGAUAGCUUGAGUGUUGGAGGGGUACAUGGAAUUGAUGGUGUAGCGGUGAAAUGCAUAGAUACCAUCAGGAACACCGAUAGCGAAGGCAUUGUACUGGCCAACAACUGACGCUGAGGCACGAAAGCAUGGGGAGCGAACAGG